GCUCCCAUGGCGUAGUGGUCACUGCACUUGCCUUGGACGCGGGAGACCCGGGUUCGAUUCCCGGCGGGGUCA
rnacentral:tRNA from 1 species